rnacentral:rRNA from 1 species
CCUACGGGAGGCAGCAGUGGGGGAUAUUGCACAAUGGGGGGAACCCUGAUGCAGCGACGCCGCGUGGGUGAAGAAGCGCCUCGGCGCGUAAAGCCCUGUCAGCAGGGAAGAAAAUGACGUUACCUGAAGAAGAAGCUCCGUCUAACUACGUGCCAGCAGCCGCGGUAAUACGGAGGGGGCCAGCGUUAUCCGGAUUUACUGGGCGUAAGGGGGGCGCAGGCGGCGAUGCAAGCCAGCAGUGAAAGGCCGGGGCCCAACCCCGGGACUGCUCUUGGAACUGCGUGGCUGGAGUGCAGGAAGGGCAGGCGGAAUUCCUGGUGUAGCGGUGAAAUGCGUAGAUAUCAGGAGGAACACCGGUGGCGAAGGCGGCCUGCUGGACUGCAACUGACGUUGAGGCCCGAAGGCGUGGGGAGCAAACAGGAUUAGAUACCCUGGUAGUC